UACGUCGGUGGCAAGCGUUGUCCGGAUUUACUGGGCGUAAAGAGCGCGCAGGCGGUCGAUCAAGUCGCGUGUGAAAGCCCCCGGCUCAACUGGGGAGGGUCACGCGAUACUGAUCGACUCGAAGGCAGGAGAGGGUAGUGGAAUUCCCGGUGUAGUGGUGAAAUGCGUAGAUAUCGGGAGGAACACCAGUGGCGAAGGCGACUACCUGGCCUGUUCUUGACGCUGAGGCGCGAAAGCUAGGGGAGCAAACGGG
rnacentral:rRNA from 1 species